AGCCUUUUGUCAAGCUCUUGCUGUCUGCUUGGUUUGUCUGGUAUCUCUGGAGCCCCCAAACACCCUAACUGGGAUGUCUGAAGGGGUGCCAGUCACUUGUGUGGGAUCCCUUUUGCCUUUGUCUCCAGGUGGAGAGGGGUUCUCUGGCUUUUCCGCCUCUGUUGUUCCCUGAGUCCUGGUACCUAAGCAGCCCACCUUUCUCCUUUGAUAUUUUGACAUUUCCCUCUGCCUCUCACUCAUCUCCAGAUUUUACGUGCCCAUGGUAGGAAUGAGAAGGGAGAGAUGGGUCUAUACUGUCUUGUCUGGACUGGAGCUAGAGCUUAACGCUAUUCUACGAAUCUCUUUCCCAGGCAGGACACCAGAAUGUCGGAGGGACUACGGAUCUAGUUUUUUGGGUCGAUAGAAGGAAAAAACAAUUCUACGGAUGUGUUGGCUACUCAUGCUUACAUCUGUGAGGGGAGCCAGCAUCCUGUCCUACUUUCCCUUCCCAGGAGAAGAGCCAGGUGAUUGGUUCAAGGCCUCCUUACCAGCAGACAGCAGGAUAACUUACCCUGUGAGGAGGAAGCACUCUUCUCCAUAUAUGCCUACUCUUUUUAUUGCCUCCUGCUACCUCUGUACACAAGUGUGGCAAGAUUCUGAAGUUAAGAUGGGUUGCAGCAAACAAGUACAUGCAGUUACGCCUACUUUAGUCUGGGCCUUAUUCGCAGGGUGUCCAGGAUGCUCACACAGCUCUGCUUCUCUUUGUGGGACAUGCCAGGCCUUAGGGGAACCAGCUCUUCUCCCAUGGAGGGAGGUGAACCCUGUUGUCCCCCCCACCCUAGCUCUCAGUUGCCUCUCCCAACUCUGUGACUGUCUGAGCCCCCCCCCCUCCAGAAGUUGAGGCAUCUCUAAAGGGGAUCCCAGAACAAAGAUUCGGGCUGGACUGAAACCAGAUCCUCAGGAAAAGCGUUUGUUUUUGUUGUUGUUUUUGUUUUUAAUCGUAGUUAAUUUACACUGUUAUGCCAAUUUCUACUGUAUAGCAAAGUGACCCUGUCAUACAUUUAUAUACAUUCUUUUUUUAUAUAUAUAUGAUCUUCCACUCUAUCCCAAGAGUCUGGAUACUGUGGUGUAGAGUAGGACCUCACUGCUUAUCCAUUCUAAAUACUUUGCAUCUACUAACCCCAAACCCCCAUCCAUCCCACUCCCCGCCCCCCUUGGCAACUGCAAGUCUGCUCUCCAUGUCUGUGAGCCUGUUUAUGUUCCGUAGAUAGGUUCAUCUGUGCCAUAUUCUAGAUUCCGCACAGAAAUGGUAGCAUAUGGUAUUUGAGGAGGAGCCUGGAAAGUGUGUAAAUGUCUACACUGCUGAGGGGCCCGGGGGCAGGAGCCCCACCAGCCCAACAGAGCUGGAUGGCCUGCAGCUGGCCCCUGGUAGUGUGAAAAAGCCAGGAGUCCAGACCCAAACUUGGGCCUGAUGUAAACACCCCGGAGAGGACCCCCGCCCAGUCCUGAACCCGGGUCCUAAUGCGCAGCCAGGGGCGGAUCUAAACCCGGGGGCAGAGGUAACACCCGGUCCAACCCCUCCUCCCACACAAACCCCGGCCCCCGCAGCCCUAAGUCUCUCAGAGUAAACCCGCCCAGACGACGCCCCCAGACGUAAACGUGGGGUCUGACUCAUAGACCACCAGUCACAAACCCCCAAACGACGCCCCCAGACGUAAAGCUGGGGCCCGGGUCGUAAACGCCCCACGCAUCAACCCGUCCCCCCAGACGUAAACCCUUCAGACGUAAACGUGGGGUCCGACUCAUAGACGCCCCAGUCGCAAACCCCCAGACGUAGACCCUUCAGACGUAACCCUGGGGUCCGGCUGUAAACCGCCCCAGCCGUAAACCCUUCAGACGUAAAACUGGGGUUCCGUCGUAAAACUCCCCAGCCGUAAACUUCCAGGCGUAAACGGCAGACGUGAACCGGUUCCGGACAUAACCGGACCCCAGACCCGGUGGAGCCCCAGACCCGGCUCCAGAGCCUGCGUAGCAGACACGCCUGCAGGCCUGGCGCCCAGCUCACCGUGUGCCUCGGACUCCAGGCCCGGCCCUCAGGCGACUGCACCCGCUGAGGAGCCCGUGGAAGGACGGCCGGCCUCAGGCCACUCCUGACCCCUGAGGAGCCCGUGACAGGACGGCCGGCCUCAGGCCACCCUGCGACCCCAGGAGCCUGUGACAGGACGGCCGGCCUCAGGCCACCCUGCGACCCCAGGAGCCCGUGGAAGGACGGCCGACCUCAGGCCACUGCUGACCCCUGAGCAGCCCGUGACAGGACGGCCGACCUCAGGCCACCCUGCGACCCCAGGAGCCCGUGACAGGACGGCCGGCCUCAGGCCACUCUUGACCCCUGAGGAGCCCGUGACAGGACGGCCGACCUCAGGCCGCUGCUGACCCCUGAGGAGCCCGUGGCAGGACGGCCGGCCUCAGGCCACCCUGCGACCCCAGGAGCCCCAAGAGGCCCCCUCCCGACGAUUUCUGGGGAAACCCCUGGCACUGGUGAUCGCUUGAAAUUGUGUGUGUGGAUGAUGAUGUGACAGAGUCUGGCCCACAGCCGCUCUUCAGUUGAUGAAAGAACAAAUACGCGCAUGAAUAAAUGAAAGAAAAAGAGGACACACCCGUUAACUGGGACAUCUCUGAUUUCAUGGUCCAUGAUAUAUUUCUAAGGAAAAAAAAUAAAUACGGUAAAAUGACAACACCCCAACAAGAUGAAACAUGGCAUUAACAAAUAUCAAGAUUUAAAUUAAAUAAGGGCAGACCAAAUGUGAUGGAUGCUCAUGGCAUAUGAGUCAGGAGGCACUUCAGAGAGCAUCUUAACAGGAUUUGAAUGUUGAAGCGGAAGGAAGGAUCUUGGCAAUUUUAAAUGACGAUAUAGAAAACAGAAACUCCGGGAUGAAUGAAGCCAAAGCAUGUGAGCAGAGAUGGACAGAGUGCCUGUGAAGAACCACUAGCAGGUGGUGAGGUAACUUUUGUAUACGAAGCGGAGGUCUGUCAAGGAAUCAUACCUCACAUCCAGUCAGUAGUUUGUCGGAAUAAAAUAUCGUGAAAUAGUUAAAAUAUAAUUUUAUUUGUGUGAAUUUUUUGUUUUGUUACUUUUUUUUAUAGUGUUUAUGUUACAUCAGGAAAAGAGAUUUGUGUGUUUCACUGCAGGAAGAUUUCACACCUGGAUCUGUCACAUACACUGAUGUCUUUAACGAAAAUAAAAAUAGAUCCUAUUUAU
rnacentral:lncRNA from 1 species